UUANUUAAGCAUGAUGUGAAAUCCCCGGGCUCAACCUGGGAACUGCGUUNUGAACUGGGUGACUAGAGUGUGUCAGAGGGAGGUAGAAUUCCACGUGUAGCAGUGAAAUGCGUAGAGAUGUGGAGGAAUACCGAUGGCGAAGGCAGCCUCCUGGGAUAACACUGACGUUCAUGCCCGAAAGCGUGGGUAGCAAACAGGAUUAGAUACCCUGGUAGUCCACGCCCUAAACGAUGUCGAUUAGCUGUUGGGCAGCAUGACUGCUUAGUAGCGAAGCUAACGCGUGAAAUCGACCGCCUGGGGAGUACGGUCGCAAGAUUAAAACUCAAAGGAAUUGACGGGGACCCGCACAAGCGGUGGAUGAUGUGGAUUAAUUCGAUGCAACGCGAAGAACCUUACCUGGUCUUGACAUGUACGGAAUCCUCCAGAGACGGAGGGGUGCCUUCGGGAGCCGUAACACAGGUGCUGCAUGGCUGUCGUCAGCUCGUGUCGUGAGAUGUUGGGUUAAGUCCCGCAACGAGCGCAACCCUUGUCAUUAGUUGCCAUCAUUAAGUUGGGCACUCUAAUGAGACUGCCGGUGACAAGCCGGAGGAAGGUGGGGAUGACGUCAAGUCCUCAUGGCCCUUAUGACCAGGGCUUCACACGUCAUACAAUGGUCGGUACAGAGGGUAGCCAAGCCGCGAGGUGGAGCCAAUCUCACAAAACCGAUCGUAGUCCGGAUUGCACUCUGCAACUCGAGUGCAUGAAGUCGGAAUCGCUAGUAAUCGCAGGUCAGCAUACUGCGGUGAAUACGUUCCCGGGUCUUGUACACACCGCCCGUCACACCAUGGGAGUGGGGGAUACCAGAAGUAGGUAGGGUA
rnacentral:rRNA from 1 species